GGAAAACUGGUUCUAGGAACCAAGGGCAUGAGGCCCAAUCUCUAGGUUAAGCUGGGUUAAGUUCAUUAGGCAUAACGUUAGAAAAAAAUUAGUUUUUUGUCUGACACCUUUUCCAGUGGGAGAAGCUGGAUUGAAAAGUUUUCAACUUGGCUGUGUAAUCCAGCAUCAGGAAAACUGCUGCCCUCUUCAACCCAUGUACAUUUUAAUCUCCCCUAUCCUGGAUUCUGCUGAACAGAUCAGCCCUAAUCCUACACAGGCACAGUGCAGUCAGGGAUGGUGAUAUCACAGGGUUGAAGACAAGAAAGACAGAUGUGUGCCUGCACCCAGUUGCUAGAGCGUGGAGGCAAUAAUGAUGGAACAGAAGGCAAGAGGCUGUCAUCGUUCACAUCACAAGGACCAGAGACACCUUUCCUGGGAAGAGAGCUGACAACCUUCUGUGGUAAGGGGUGAACAUCCUUGGGAAGCCACAGAGAGCAAGGCGCAGUUUUUCAUUGAUCACCACUUUCAAGAUGCUCCCAGAAUCGUGCUGUCUAGGAAGCCAUUUAAACUGGUGAGAAGCCAUCCUCUCUUGAAUGGGGGCUCCCACUGUACAUCUGGCACCCACUUCACAGAUUCUGGGGGAUGUCAACACCAGCACUGCUGAGCUGUGUGACCUUGAGCAAGACAGUUAGCCUCUCUGAACCUCAGUGUCCUUCUCUGUAGGCUGGAGAUUGAUAUACCUUCAUUAUCGGGGGUGGGAUGGUGGAACACGCUGACUGGUCUGGGCUAUUCAAGAUCCAUGAACUGGAAGAUGCUUUCUUAUAACUCAGAGAAAAGAGAUGAAAAUGAAUCAAAGAACAGGAAGGAGACAAGCUCAGGAGAGUCACCCUAAGAAGGAUGUGUGGAAGACUUGACUGGAGGAUCAAAAUGUGUCGGGGGAAGGUGUACAAGGAGGAGUAAGGACACAGAUGUCCUGACUUCACACAGUGGGGGAUUAGAAGCCACCAUCAAACACAGAUGAAACAGGAAUAAAAGUAGUAGUACAUUACUUAAGCUUUAAAAGGGUAAGACUCCUGGGAAUUUGGAAGCUGAGACUUGAGGCAAGUAUUUAGGAUUUGCUGUCUCACCUCCCUGCUAUGACAGUCCUUAAUUAAUGGAGAUGAUGGAGAACAGCUUGCUGGGCUGAGUGGCAGGAGCCAUGCAGCUGCUGGGGCUGGAGUGGGUCAGGAAGCUUCAUCAAUCUGGGACACAUGACGUGCUUGGUGGUGGCGGAGCCUGACGCAUCCCUCUUCAUCGACAUUGUGUCAAUAGGAGCAGAGGCAUUUAGCUGUGUAAACACAGAGCUUCAGUGGCAGCACCCUAAAUGCUUAGCUGAUAGAUCCGGAAUUAAAUACAGACCUAGAAACUGGAGUUGGAAAACUUCCUGGCAGCACUCCUUCCCUGCCAUCCCGGUGAUCCCCUUCUGGAUGGAGGGUGUGGAGCUCAGCACAUUCACGUCUGCAGUUCUCAGAGAACCAAGUGUUAAGGAAUGUCAGGGAAGGAAGAAGGCAGCCAGCCAGGAAGGGGAGGUCCUGGCCUGAGCACGCCAGGCACAGAGGGAUAGAGGGUAGGGAGGAAACUGCACCUGUCUCCAACCCUCGACCCCAGCCCCGAAACACGACAUUGGCUGAAACAGAUUAAAAGCAUAAAAUGGCCCAAAGAAAUGGGAGAAGGUUGGCCUCUGGUCGGGCAAACAUGAGGGCAUGAAGAUAUAUAAUGUCCCACACGGGAGGAAACCCUUGCCGGGCCCCUCAGGAUUUAUAACAAGCUCACCUGAAGGAGAAACUUCAGGGGCACUUACACCAUCAGAUACCUAGAAAGGAGCUGUCAUUUCCUCACUGAAGAGUUUGCAAGCAGAUGGUAAAAGGGGUUUAAUUUGAAAACACUGAAACAUCGUGUUCGCUCAAAACCAUGACAAUUGCAGUUUUAUUGUCUCCACUCAG
rnacentral:lncRNA from 1 species